AAACAAUUCCAUGGUCACUCCUGAGGAAGCUGUGAAGGUAGAAUAAAGUCUGAUGUUUAGGUGUCUGCCUUCCAUAUUCACUAUGAAUAGUGAACUGUGUGAUUACCUGGACUGUGACCUUUACACUCAGCGGGGGCCUUCUCUGUGCUCCCGGACCACCUCCAAUUCUACAGCAGGAGGAGAGCUGUAACAUCAUUCAUUUCAUACACAGGGAUCAUGGCCAGAUCUACAGAACCCUCCUGACUCCAGGCACAUGAGAAAAAACAAGGACACAGGUCCCUCAUCCAGGUGACACGUAACAGAUGGCUUUGUCUACAGAGAGAUUAAAGGCUUUUCCAUGUACUAAA